rnacentral:tRNA from 1 species
GCGUUCGUAGCUCAGUUGGUUAGAGCACCACCUUGACAUGGUGGGGGUCGWUGGUUCGAGUCCAUUCAGACGCACCA